rnacentral:rRNA from 1 species
CACGUAGUUAGCCGGGGCUUCUUAGUCAGGUACCGUCAUUUUCUUCCCUGCUGAUAGAGCUUUACAUACCGAAAUACUUCUUCACUCACGCGGCGUCGCUGCAUCACGGGUUUCCCCCAUUGUGCAAUAUUCCCCACUGCUGCCUCCCGUAGGAGUUUGGGCCGUGUCUCAGUCCCAAUGUGGCCGUUCACCCUCUCAGGCCGGCUACUGAUCGUCGCUUUGGUAGGCCGUUACCCUGCCAACUGGCUAAUCAGACGCGGGUCCAUCUCACACCGAUAAAUCUUUUCCGGCCGGAUCAUGCGAUCCUUCCGGCUUAUGCGGUAUUAGCGGUCGUUUCCAACUGUUAUCCCCCUGUGUGAGGCACGGUUACCCACGCGUUACUCCACCCGUCCGCCACUCAGUCAAAUAAGACUUCCUCCGAAGACUUCGUUACUUAAGUGUCUUCGUUCGUACUUGCUAUGUUGUUAAGUCACGCCGCCAGCGUUCACUCCUGA